AUUUGUUCUUGUGGAAGAAGACUCCCAGCAGGAGUCUUCAAUGUUCUUCCUCUUCUUUUUUUUUCUUGGGCUUUCAAGGUUUAGGCUUGGUCCAGGGCCUAAAUGGAGUGGGUAUUACAUUCUCCCUUCCUUAAAAUAAUUCAUCCUCAAAAUUAAGUUACGUUGUUUGAGAUAUAUUCUUAAAAAUAUACAUGCAUCAUGUCAUUUUCACGCUUUCGAUAAUGUCUUACAUAUUAUUUAUUUCUCAUGAUUUUGUUAUA
rnacentral:lncRNA from 1 species